UUUCCCCUGCGGUGUUCGCCUUAGGACCUGGAAUCUCUGAACCAACAUCGUUGAAUCUGGUUGCCGACUCAAGCAGCACCGGUGUGCGCGUCCCACAUGGAAGCGCCUAAAGGGCUCGGAAGGCGACCACCUUGGACCAUCGGUUCAAGAUGAAGGCCUGACGGCACAAGCGGGGGUCCC
rnacentral:other from 1 species